rnacentral:tRNA from 1 species
GCGAAAGUGGCGGAAUUGGCAGACGCGCUGGACUUAGGAUCCAGUGGGAGCUUCCCUUAGGGGUUCGAGUCCCCUCUUUCGCACCA